rnacentral:rRNA from 1 species
CCUACGGGGGGCAGCAGUGGGGAAUAUUGGACAAUGGGGGGAACCCUGAUCCAGCCAUGCCGCGUGUGUGAAGAAGGCCCUCGGGUUGUAAAGCACUUUCAGUGAGGAAGAACGCCUGGUGGUUAAUACCCAUCAGGAAAGACAUCACUCACAGAAGAAGCACCAGCUAACUCCGUGCCAGCAGCCGCGGUAAUACGGAGGGUGCGAGCGUUAAUCGGAAUUACUGGGCGUAAAGCGCGCGUAGGUGGCUUGAUAAGCCGGUUGUGAAAGCCCCGGGCUCAACCUGGGAACGGCAUCCGGAACUGUCAAGCUAGAGUGCAGGAGAGGAAGGUAGAAUUCCCGGUGUAGCGGUGAGAUGCGUAGAGAUCGGGAGGAAUACCAGUGGCGAAGGCGGCCUUCUGGACUGACACUGACACUGAGGUGCGAAAGCGUGGGUAGCAAACAGGAUUAGAUACCCUAGUAGUC